rnacentral:misc_RNA from 1 species
AUAGAGGUGAAGCAGACAUAUAGUAGGAUGUACUAAGUGAGGACCUCUGUGUGUUAUUAGUGAUUUGAUUUGGCUUAAAGCACACACAUAGUGUGUAUCAGUGGUGAACAACAACAACCGUUCCCAUACCACCUCAAUUGUCACUAAUACUACCGUAACGUUGUGGACGCGUGUGUUUGUGGUCUUUUUGGGCUUUCGGAUUUGUGACUAUUUGAGAAUAAAUCGCAUUAAUAUUGGUGGAGCUGGCAAUGUUGAUGCUGGUGGUCGGUUAAUGCUUAGGUUGUGUGGGUGUGCGUUAGUCCUGUCGUGUGUGUAAAAGGAUUUGCAUUUACAUAAAACUGACAUACUCACACCGCUGCGUAUGGCUUUUAUGUACCGUAAUGUGAAGAUGCGGGCGAAAAAUUUCAUUUAAGUGAGUUUUAGUGCGUCACACUACGCGCGCCUCUCAGCAGUAUUGACAACACGCAUAUGCUGCGUAGCGCCUAGUGCUAUGCCGCAUUGUUUUAGAGCCGUCUAGUGGAAGUAGUGUUGAAUUGAAGUUAACGGUGUGCGCGAGCGGUACGUGUCGGUGCGGACGGUUUAAAUGCAGCGGAGCAGUGCGCGGUCGGGACGUAUCGUAAAUCAAGUUGCUUUCAGUGCCGUAUUUUGGUAUUCUCGUCAACAGCCCCAUUUUCGAGAGUGUUUUCGCUCACAAAUGGGCUUAUAAAAAAUUCAUAUACGAACGCAACUAAAGCGAAAAAUGUAGCUGAAUUGUAACGGAUAGCACAGUGAGCAACGGUGAAGUGUUUGUUGCCAAGGUUAGAUGCAAGUGAGCUUUUGUGCGAACAACGGUAAUAAAAUAAAUGAAUAAAUGUAUACCGAGUAAAAUAAAAAUACCCAAAAUUGAAUAAAAGGCUGAAAAUUUUCCGUCUCAGUUUGCACAAGGGCUCAGUGAGCAAAGGGUUCCUAGCAGCUACUAUAAAGCGGAUAGCUAGUAAAGUAUUUAAGAAUACAAUGGAAUUUGAACGUAGAGUUGUGUAAACAAAAUAAUGAGAAGGCCAAAUUAAAAUAACGGAAGGUUGAACUAUCAAAAAUUGAGAAUUCCAAACUAGGUAAACAUGGUUGGAAAAAAAAUUGUGUUUAAAAGUGAAAAUGGAAUUACGGCUUGCGACAAAGAAUUCUAUUUGAGCUGGGGAUGUGAAGCACGUAAAAAGCUGGGUGUAUAAUAAUAAAAGUCGCACGACUAACUCCCUUGCCACCCAACUCCUUCUCGGUACUAGCCACUUGCGCAACAUUUAUGCUGGACAAAAACUAAUGCACUCUACGAAAUUACAGAAUGCCAUAUAAUUGAAAGCAAAACUGCAAUAAAAGACAAAAGUUAACCGAAGGACGGUCUAGGUUCUAACCGUUGUAGACAAACAGUAAAUUAAAGGAAGCGAACACAUUCAUAUGAGCAAGGAUGGGCGUGCUGCUGCAAACAGUAUAUACGGCAAAAAGUACCACGCCCAGGUCUUCGGUGUUNCUACCAUUGUUGGCAGUACUAAUGGUCAUGCUGCCGACGCCACCAGUCGCCAAAGCCACAAGCGGCUUACGUGUGCCCACUUUCAUACAGGAACCGCCGGCGCGUCUGCUCUUCAGCAACGACACUGGCACUNAGAUCAGCUGCACGGCGCAUGGUAAUCCGCCGCCAGUAGUAUCGUGGGUGCUUAAGGAUGGCACGAUGGCGACGCAGGUGCCCGGACUCAGAAAAAUUACUGGCAAUGGCACAUUAUAUUUCCCACCGUUUUUGGCGCAAUACUAUCGCACAGACGUGCACGAGACGAUAUACCGCUGUCGAGCAGCCAACGAAGCUGGCACCGUGUUGAGCCGGAACGUGCAGCUCCAAGCAGUUGUUCGCCGCCAGUUUCAUGUGCACGUGGAAAAUACCGAAGUCUAUUUGGGAAAUUCAGCGUUGAUCAAGUGCGCUAUUCCGGACUAUGUGCGCCCGUAUGUUAAGGUGUCCAGCUGGCAUCGCGGCGAGGAGAUUCUACUGCCCGAUCUAUCAGAUGUUGCUGGACGUUAUGUGGUACUUUCGUCAUAUGGAGACCUCUAUAUACGCUCGGUGCGCACAGAGGACAGCUUGGUGAAGUUCUCUUGCCUGGUCACAAACACACUGAAUGGAGAAAAGCAGCGCAGUGAUGCUAUAAUGUUGCAGGUGAAAGAGCUGAGCAAAAAUCUUGCACCUCGCACCACUCAGAAGCCAGUAAUGGAAAUACAUGUGGAACGUGGNAGUGAUGUCCAUUUGCCGUGCAACAUCCAGGGAAAUCCUUUUCCUAUAUUUACAUGGUAUCGUGUUUCGGAUUCAUCAGCAUUGUACCCAAUUCCAUCUUCGCAGCGUGUGAUACUGUCACGCACGCUGUUGCUUAUCAAAAAUGCUGACGAACGGGAUGCCGGCAAAUGGGUGUGNCAGGCGGCGAAUCAAUUCGGCGAGCAGCGCAUCGAAAUCCGUCUGAUGGUUAACUCAUAUGUGUCGGUGCAUAUUCUGCCGCAAGUGCAAAUUGUCAAUUCGGGCGGAAUGGCAAUUUUCAACUGUUCGACCACGGGUUCAGCGAUCGAUGGCGUCGAGUGGUUGCACAAUGGAAUAGCUCUACAGGGCAACAAUGCGCUUAGCAACGGCAGAGAGAACAUACGGUUUCUUACGAAGACCUCGCUAAUGGUACAUAACGUGGGUCGUAGAGAUCGAGGUGUCUAUCAGUGCUUGGUGGAGAAUAGCAGAGCCAGCGCCCAGGCUAUGGCCGAAUUGAAGUUGGGUGAUACCGUGCCUGAACUGAUUUACACCUUUAUUGAGCAAAAUGUGCAGCCGGGGCCAUUAAUAUCGCUUAAGUGCUCGGCUAGCGGUUCGCCGCCACCACAAUUUGCCUGGCUGUUGGACUCCCAGCCGAUAAUGGAUGUUUCGCUGCAUCAUCGCUUCGCCAUCGGUCAGUUCGUCGAUAUGUCUGGCGAUGUGAUCAGUCACUUGAAUAUUUCGCAUGUGCGUCCAGACGAUGGCGGACUUUAUAAGUGCAUCGCCACCAAUUCGAUGGGAAGUGUGGAGCACUCGGCGAGAUUGAAUGUUUAUGGUCCGCCAUAUGUACGCGCCAUUGGUCCCAUAAAAGCUGUCUCCGGCGAAGAUAUAAUUGUUCAUUGUCCAUUUUCCGGUUAUCCAAUCGAGCAAAUUAGAUGGGAGAAAGGACAUCAGGAAUUGACAUCAAACUCACACUACUUGCUGUCACCGGUGCAGCNGGGCGGCUAUCUUGUCAUCAAGGAUGUCGAACCGACCCGUGAUCAGGGCAUGUACACGUGCAUUGUAAGGAGUCGGGCUGGAGAGGAGGCUCGCCGCGAUAUGCAACUAAAUGUAAACAGCCCACCAGUGAUUGAAGCAUUCAAGUUUCCCAAGAAUCUGCAAGAGGGAGGACGCGCNCAGAUAACUUGUGCCGUUUCAUCUGGUGAUAUGCCAAUCUAUUUCAGUUGGAAGAAGGAUGACAUGUCCAUACCAACAAGUUUGCAGAUUACCGAGAAAAAGGAGGAAUUCUAUUCGCUUUUGGUGUUCAAGGAUAUCAGCGCAAAGCAUAGCGGUAAAUAUACCUGCUAUGCGAGCAAUGCGGCAGCAAAGGUGAACUACACUGCAGAAUUACAAGUGCGAGUUGCGCCACGCUGGGCACUGGAGCCAAUGGAUACGGCCAUUAUGCUUGGCAAUACAAUAUCGAUAAAUUGCGAGGCGGAAGGAUAUCCGAUACCAACUAUUACCUGGUUCAAAGGGCAGGGCAAAUUGUCACAAGACUUUAAGCCGCUCAACAUGCGCAACAACUCGCUUGUGCUUAAUCUAGCCACGGACAUUGAUGAGGGCUACUACAUGUGUCACGCAACAAACGAUAUUGGCGUCGGUCUCAAAAAAAUUAUACGCAUCAAUGUGAAUGAACCCGCCCGCUUCGAACAAGCAGCACGAAAUGUAUCAUCACGACGCAAUGACCCCGUUAGUCUCGACUGCCAGGCGAAAGGCGACGAGCCCAUCGCAAUUUCGUGGACACACAACAACGGCCGCAUUGAUCUGAACAAUUUCCGUUUUAGCAUUGCGGAAAUGAAAACGGACAAGGGCGUCGACUCACAGCUGACCAUUGCCCGUUCGGAUCGUCACGAUUCGGGCAUUUAUCGUUGCGUUGCCGAAAAUCCGUAUGGACGCACUGAGCUCGUCAUCUUCUUGGCUGUUCAAGAACGUCCUGACACUCCAUCUGUGCUGGAAGUCUUUGAGGUGGGCUCACGUACCGUAAAGCUGUCGUGGCGGCGCCCAUUCGAUGGUAAUUCGCCAGUGCUCAGCUAUCUCGUACAAUAUCAGCCGUUGAAAUAUUUGCAAUCACAUGCUGCGCUUGGGAUGGCGGGUGGAGAUUGGAGUGGUCCAAACAUCAUCAAUGUCACUCUGCCGUCGACAAGUAUUAGCCGGAGCUAUGACAGCGAUUUGCGGGAAAGUGCCAUUGUGNCAGGCUUGACUCCGGCAACUACUUUUCUCAUUCGUAUGCAGGCAAUCAACGAAAUCGAGCGGAGUCCAUUCACCGAUCCUAUUGUGCUGAAAACGCAGGAAGAGGCUCCAACCGAAGCACCNUCAAAUGUGCAGGUGCAGACAGGUGGCGAAAGUGAAUUGAUUGUGACAUGGCAGAUACCAUCCCGAGAAUCUUGGAAUGGUGAACUCAUCGGCUAUACCGUUAACUGCAGCGAGGAAAAACAGAACAUCAACUACAUUAGCGUUGUCAAUAAUUCACUCAAGUCGGUGAUUGUAAGUGGUUGGGCCACCACAAAGGCAACCAUUCGCGGCUUGCGCAAAUACACCAGGUACGCGGUGACUGUGCGUGCACUCAACAGUUUUGGUUCGGGACCCUGGAGUGCCGCCAUUUUCGGAACGACAGCCGAGGGUGUGCCUGAAGCGCCUCCGCAGCAUGUCAAUUGUACCGCAUUGUCGUCGCAAAGUCUGAAGAUAUCCUGGCUAGAACCGCCAUUGCAAUUUCAUGGUGGAAUAAUCCAAGGCUAUAAAAUUUUAUAUCGGCCCAUUGUGAAUCAAAUUGACUUCCCGGCAAAACUAGAGGUGAAGCGUACCUCCAAUCUUGAGACCUACUUGCACACUCUCCAUAAGGCGACUAAUUACUCCCUGCGUGUAUUGGCUUAUACAGCGACUGGUGACGGGUUGUCCAGUCAACCGUUAUAUUGCCAAACAGAGGACGAUGUGCCGGACGCUCCAGCGUCUAUAAAAGCAGCCGCAUUAACGGCCGAUUCAAUAUUGAUUUCGUGGUUGCCGCCAAAAAAUCGCAAUGGAAUAAUUUCGCAUUAUACAGUUUAUUCGCGCGAGGCUGGGCGUAAAGGACAAGCGAAAUCUCAUAUGGUGCGCGUCGAUGAAAAUGGUUAUCCGGUGACCUAUGAAGCACGCGGGCUGGCAGAAAAUCAAAUGUACGAAUUCUGGGUUUCUGCGUCAACAUCCGUUGGAGAGGGCGAACCAACAUCUGUGGUUGCGCAGACCACAAAUACGCGUGCCCCUGCUCGGAUCGCUUCUUUUGGACAACUAGUUCGGAAAGCUGUCGGCACUGCCUUGAUUUUGGAAUGUUUGGCUGUGGGAAAUCCGACGCCACGAGCUAGAUGGUUGACCAGAGACCGGCCUGUCACAUUCAGCCCCUUCUAUGAGGUGACUAACGAAGGAAAUUUAAAAAUACACCGCGUAGAGAGCAAUUUGUCCGGAAAUUACACUUGUACGGCGAAUAAUCUGUUCGGAAGCGAUGAGAUUCAGUAUCAAGUGAUUGCCAUGAAACCACCCGUCGCCCCCCAAAUCAUUGUGCAAUAUGCGUCAGCUGAUAGCAUACGUGUCAGCUGGGAUCCGCCGGACGACGGUGGUGCCCCUUUGCAAGGCUAUACCAUUUCGUACCGCAUCACAGGAGAGACAUGGGCACAGACCGAGUUGAUGCCAGAGAAUAACGCUUAUACGAUUACGGGCUUGAAAUGUGGCAAUCAGUAUAUCAUCAAGAUGUCGGCGCAUAAUAUUGUUGGCGACGGCAUGUCCAGCGAGGAAAUUAACGUCUGGACCAAGGGCAAAGCCUCACAGGCGCCGAACGGGAAUGAACUGAUUGCCACUAAUGCCUCUUGUGUGAAUUUGAANUUAUCAACGUGGAACAAUGGUGGCUGUCCCAUACAUCACUUCUCUAUUGAGCACCGACCGCUUGGGGACAUCCGUUGGACGGUUGUCACAUCCGACAUCUCGAAUGCCGAAGAGAAUCGCGAAAAUUUAAUAUUUUGCGAUUUCCUGCCAGCCAAGUGGUAUCAACUACGCGUCUCGGCCACAAAUGAUGCUGGUAAAACCACUGAACAUUAUCAUUUUGCAACAACCAAUCUGGAUGGGGUGACAAUACCACCGCCACAGGUUUUCCCAUCGGAAAACGAUUUGAUGAACAAUCUGAUAAAUGCUACAAAUCCCACCAACGGUGAUUGGUUUUCAACAUUGAUCGUCAUCGUCAUCAUCACCGUGGCCAUUAUUACCAUUGCUUUAACAAUUAAGCAUCGUCGCACUCUGUGCGGCCCCAUUGCCGAUGGCUAUGAGUCGCGUACACUGCCCGGUGAUUACAAAGAAGACCGCGACAAUCGACGCAAUCAGCAGGUGUACAGCGCUUCUCCAGUAAAAACUGUAGAUAAAGGAAACGAAUCAGAAAUGUACGAGAUUUCACCCUAUGCUACAUUCAGCGUNAAUGGUGGGCGAACGGGUGCGGGUGCAGGCUCCUCUUCGAAAACACCACCUCGUGGUGGUGUUUCCGCUUCCCCAAUGGAUUACACCAUGCAGUUUAAGACUUUCGGACAUCCAGAGGGCGAUAAUCUCAAUGCAACUGCUUAUCCUUUGAUACCGACCAGCGCCGGAUUCGGUCAUGUGAAGUCGAAGUCUAGUUGGCACAAACAGCGCUACUUCAAUACGGACGAUGAGUCCACGCUUAGCAAAUCGAUGACCAUGGUGGCUGGCUCACAAUCGGGGCAUUCGAAGAAGAGNGGACGCGCCAGCAAGAGCGCCAGCAGCAGUAGCGGUGGUGGAGGUGGUAGCGGUAGUGGAGUUGUAGGUGGUCCCAGUGGAGUAGGAGCUGGUGCACACUGUGAAUCGGAGUCAGAUACGAGUAUAAGUCCCAGCACUGAGUUUUCCAAUAUGCCAACCUAUAGAGUUCCUUGUAAGUCGACGCGCAGCAACGAUGGGCGCCCAGCUGCAGAUAUGUUUCGACCAGACUCGAGCACGGAAUCCAACAAUGAACAGGGCUCACCGGUGGAACGAAGAAUAAGUGGACGAGGGACAGGAAUUGCUGGAGUUGGAACUGGGAGUGGAGAGAUUGACAAACGAGGACAUCGUAGUAGGAAACAACAACAACAGCUGCAAUUACAACAACAAGCAAAAGAGCAUCAAACGCUGGACCGGAGAAUAUGCCCUGGAAGUAACAACAGUGUAGACAGUGAGGUUAACUCGGAUAUGGGUACCUCCUUAGCGGCCACCAUAGCCGCUGUGGCUGCGGGCGAUCUGGGUUUUCGUCCACCGUCGGGUUUUACUGAUUCGCGUGAAUUCAGCGAAGCUGAGUGUGACCGCGAGCAACGUGCAUUGGACUUGGAAGUGCAACGUGUUAUGGAAAACACCGACGGACAAUUGGCCAAGAUGGAUCGAGAGGAAUUGACUUCACUGCUAGCAAGAUAUCACGAGAAAAAGGAGCAGGAGCGCCAGGAAUAUACCAUACAUGUUUAAUAUUUAUUGGAAAUUAUUCACAUGAACAUACACACAAGAAAACGCAUUUAUAUAAGUACACUGCCGAGCUAGUGAGCGCCUAAACAAAGUAACUAUUGCAUUUUACAUAAUCACACGCUGGGAAAUAAAGCGAACUGACUACAACAAAUCAACAAACGAUCACCUCUCGAAGGCAACAAAUGCAUUUAUAAACCCUCACAAACAAGGAGUCAUCCCAACUAACAAUUGUAACUAAACUAAAUGUGGCAAAUUGAUUUUAUUUANCAUUAUAAGCUCGCAGAACGCUACAUAUUCCCACUCACAGAUAAGUAGUUAUAUAUGUAAAUGUAUUGCAUUCUAGCAUCCCUGCAGGACAACACAAUAGCUCCCUUUAACCGGUAAUAUUUUAAUGCACGCGGAUGGACUUAGAGCCCAUUUAUUAAAUUUACUUACACAGUAAAGACUUCGCUCGAUAGGAAGCUUUAUUGUUAUUCUAGUAACUUUCAUUGGGAUUGGCAAAAUAAUAUUNUUCUCUAUGGUAGACAAUUAAAGCUUUAUAACAUUGGCAGAACUUUUAACUUCUAAAAACUGGAGGUAAUUAUUCCAGUUUUUUUUUUUUUCAAACACACAAAUUCACACGAUUUUCUUCUGAAUAAAUUAAUUAUAUUAGCGUAGAUUGACUUAAAUUACACAUUUUAAAAGCUGUUGAAGAAUUUAGUUCUGUUCUGUUAGAUGUCGACACUCAAUAGACACAUUCCUAUCGUUACUCGGGACGAAGAAUGACUGUGGUGCGAGAUGGUCAAUGGUUAGGAAUAUUCAAGGUAUUCGCGUUCAUUAUCUCUUUUAUACAAAUGGUUGGAAAGUGGAAAGAGUUUCGAAAAUGCUACCUUUUAAAGGGUAAAAUAUUGUUAUCAAAUUUAAAGCCAAAAUAUGUUGAACAAACGCUCUUGUUUUGGCUACCGGGUUUGUUCUGUUAGAAUUUUUAUAGUGUGUAGUGGUGAAAAUCUAUUCAUUAACAAGGUGCAUGGGCCUGCAAGGUAUAAUAUGUACAUAUAUGCGUACAUGUAUAGGUCUGCAUUUUGUGCUGUACUCAUUAAAUUGGGCAAAACAAAUAAAAACAAUAUGAACACAUACGCAUAGCAACACUUUUCAAGAAAAAAUGCAAAAUUAAUUAUUUUAUACGAGUGCACUAAUUCUGCUGCGAAUAUAAGUAUUAUAUUUACUGUUGUUGCAGGUCAAGCGUGCAUUUAUACCUGUGCACAUUAGNUACAAAGUGCGGGGUUCGAGCUUUUCAACUGCACAUUACAUCAAAGUUAGUUGAAAGGGGCGUAAAACUAUUUCGGUUGCAUGUUGGAAAUAAUUAAACACUUCGGAUGCAUCGAAGCUUUAAUAACAUAAUAUGGAUUAAAAACGCUUACAUCUUUAUUUUAUUCGGUCCGAUCACUACAAAAAAAUUCCAAGCUAAGGAAAAUGUGACGAUGGUCUGUCUUACAAAGAUGCUUACAUUANACGCGAGGCUAUAAAAAUAGACUAAUCGUUUCCGAGCGUUCUAUCCAAAAUCUUCCAUUAUAUCCAAAGAAUAUUCGUUUGGGAUAUUUUAAUACCUAGUUGUUCUCUUAAAGAGUACUUAAUCACCAGCAGGAAUUGUUUUCUACUUCGAAAGAAACAUAGAACGGGAAACUUUCUCAGAUAAAUUCUUUUCUUGUAACNUACUAAGAAUUAUCAAUUUAAUUGAAUGAUCCAUUUGGUUUAAUAUUUUUAUUUCUGGGUAGAAUAGAUCUCUAUAGGCAGUCAAUAUUNUGUAUAUAUAUCCUGAGCGCCCUUUAAAUGGAUGAAUCUUUAACUUAAUAUUUCUUUAAAUAAUGCUAUUUACUUUGAAUUUAAGAGCUUAAAUAAUUUGGUGCAAACUGUCAUACGUUUCAGCUAAGUAAUUCUAUAUCGAUACGUAUUAUACAUAUAUGUAUAAGUAUAUAAGUGUAGC